ACGGAGUACAUUGUAACAUUUGUUUUCAUGUAAAGUUAGAAAAUCCUAGUCAAAGUUUGACUUAUGAAUUAUCAAAAAUCAAAGUGAUGUAAGUAUUUUAAAUAAAACCAAAUAUGUAAAAAGAUUACAAUGUACAUAUUCCUCCAUUUCAUAAAAAUUGUAACACUUUUUUAGUCAAAAUGUAAUUUUUUUUUUUUUUUUUUUUUGAAACGAAGAAAGUAUAUAAUAACGUAAAAUUAAAAGUGCUUACCAACUACAUGGAUCUAUAACCUAACCCUUACUAAAAUAUGAGCACUUCUACUGUAGAUUAGCAACAGUGCAUUUCCCGUAGUGCCCUUAAUGCUCAAAAUUCCUUCUUUGCCCUUGGUCCAAGUUGAUUUGAUGCCUGACUCUUGUCUUCUCUUCUUCCUUUUUCCUGAAUUCCUCUGAUUGUUAUCAGAAAUUGCUCCAUCCUCUCAAUUUCUAGCAUCCUCUCUCCUCUUUCUCCCUUAAUUUCCUCCCCUCCAUAUCUCCGAUUCUCAAUUACAUGAUGAAAAUCAGAAUUUCUGGCGGUGUUAAUUCUCUUGCUUCACUCCAUUGAAGGAACUUCUGAGCUUUUCCUCUCUCUUAAAUUCAUUCAAGUAAUAGAUUAUCCUGUAAACCCUAAUGUACUCGAAAUUAUCAGAAAAGGCAUUGGGUUUGUGGAAUUUGGGGGUAAUUUCUCCCUGCUCUAUUGAAGGCUUGAAGCACGUACUCUGAAUCCUCCAUUGAUGCGGCUUCUGAGCUUUCCCAUCAGUUGAAGCAACUUCUGAGAAAUUGGUUCAACAUCAGCCAACUCAAUAUCCAACAUCCGAAGAACUUAGUGUUGGAAAAAUCAAGUUCAAGGCCUUUGAUUUGGUAGGGCAUCAGAUUGCUCGCCGGGUUUGGAAAGAUUACUAUGCUAAAAACCAAGAGUCUCAAGUUGGUAAUGGCAAUAAGUACAAAGCAGGCUCUGAUUUCAUGAGAAAAGCUUUUACCUCAUAUCAUCAAAGUCAUGCAAUAUGAUUCACUGGAACCUAUCGCUGGAUGGAUCUGGAAAUGAUAAGAGAAAAGCACCAUACAAAGAGAGUUGAUGUUUAAUGUUUUGGCAUCAUCUCGUGGGAGAUCUUGACUUCAUUGACGCCCUUAGAUGAUAUGACUCCAGAACAGGCUGCUUUUGUUGUUUGCCAGAAGGAUAAUAUUGGUAGAUCUCUAUUUAAGUAGGUAAUUUUGGCUGGGUAAUUCUUUUUUUCAGGAAGGCAUAGCCGAAAACCUUGGGACAAAAUUUAAUGCUGACAAUAAAACAUAUGGCAGUUCCAGAGGUUACUGACUUUGUUGAUAAUGAUCACCAGAAAUGGCUCACUGCUAAAGAAGCAAUGGUAAGCCAUGGUGAGGCAUAAUAAUGUUGUGUGUGCCUAAUGCCCAUUUCAAGAAGCACUGGCAAAACUAUGUCAAGACUUGGUUCAAUCAGCCUGCUUGUAAAACUAGAAGAGUGUUCAUGUGCAGGACAUCUCUAGAGUGCCAAGAUGUUUCUCUGGCUCGUUAUGGAUUUAGGAAGGCGUGGCCAAUCGUUUUGUGUAAUGCUAAGUCAUCUGCUCCUGCAAUAAGGAAAAGUAUAUUAUUAAAAGGUUCAGAUUUUGGACGAACAACAUCAAUCUUGAAUUAAAUAAGCAAAAAGAGAGAGAGAGAGAAACAAGAUAAUGAGGUGGCAGCAGUACGACAAAGGCAGCAGCAGCAAGAAGAAAACAGCAGACCAGGCUGGUUGCGGUAGUCUAUAGAGGCUGCAACAGCAACCUAUAAACCAAAAGUGAGAGGAUGCUGUGAGAGAUUCAAGGUUUGGGGUUCUCGUUAAUUCAUUUGUUAAUUCACAAAUGCAACGGAGAUUCAUGGUCUGCGGUAUCUACUUUUUUAGUGGAAAUAAUUGAGGAAAUUUUGUCUAGAACUACCCGCAAGAUAGGGUCAUUUGUGAACAACUACCCCCCCUUUUUUUUAUUUGUUUAGAACUACCCGCAAGUUUGAAAACAUUUGGGUAGCACUACCCAUUAAUGUUUUCCGUCCAAUUUACACGUUAUUGGGUAACUAUUCCCACCCAAUUAACUCCCCCCCAACUACCUUCUCUCCUCCCUAAUUAAUUUCCUUCCAUUAUCACCCUCUUCUCUCACCUUCCUCAUUUGACCUUGAUUCUCUGACCUAAGCAGCGAAUCUUCACCAUCAUCUUCCUCUCCUUUUCAGAAAUUUGGCAGCCCUACCAUCCCUUUCUUUGUUAUCUCUCUCUCUUCCAACUCAUCUUGUUGCUUUUUUGGGUAACUCGAAGUAAAUGAGUGAAACUACAGCAAUGAAAAAGGGGGAAAGUGAAGUAAAUACACAAAUUAUUGCAGCACAACAAGGACGAACAAGGUACAUUGGUGUAAUCACCUUAAAUUUCUGUCCUUUACCUUUAAUAAUAUAAAAAAUGUGAAAACCCUUAAUAUUUAAAUACUUGAAAUUGGAACCCUAAUUUUUUAAUUGACAAAAUUGACCGGACAAUUAAACAAUUGCAACACUUUAUCACAUAAUUAAUUAACAAUUGAGGUUGCUGUUGAGCUUAGAUAAUUGUGCAUUACUCGCUUAGUUGUUAUGUCCUGCAUGUUGUUUGAGUGAAUGUUGUUUGACUGAAUUUAGCCACAUUGUUAUUGAAUAUUAAUUGUUAUAUAUCAAUGUUGUAGGGAGCUUCAAUCUUAUGUUGAUAUGAAUAUUUGGGUUGGUAGGGAAUUUAAAUACAGAAAGGGUAAGACAGAAUAUAUGGGGGGAGGAAUGUAUAUGAGAAUGAGUUGUUGGUUGAAGGAACUUAAUGUUGGGACUUUGAGAAGGUGGGUGAUACAAGCAUAUGAUUUAGUGUGUAGCAGGUACCCCAAAAUUUCCCCAAAAUUUCAGUGUGGUACAGGUUAAAUGGCAGAAAUUUGACUAAUGGAAGAAGAAAAGUUUGAGACAUUGAUGACAUUAUCAAUUUGGUCAACAGCAGGGAUAAAGAGAUAAUUUGGGCCUUACUUGAGAAGUCAAACCCAAUCCAACAAAUCGAACAGGCCAAGGUCCAAGGAUAAAGAACUGUAGCUUUGUACCUACUUUCACUCCCAAACCAAAACCCCCAACUAUCAAACCAGCACAAAACUGAAGCCCAUUAAAAAAAGGUUCAACUUGUUAGGUGGAGCUUAAGGUUAUCUCCCAAAAAAGGCAUAAUACAUGAUGAUGAUGAUAAUAGGGAAGCUGUAGUGAUUACCCAAGCUGAGUAUAAUAGCCAUUUUAGGUAGGUACAAAAAAGCCCAAUGUUAUCCUCACAAUGCUCAGAACCUUAUUUGUCUCCUUGUUAACAAAAAACAAGUCAAGAACAAAACCCUUUCCCAAAUUCUUCUUCUGUACCUUCUUUGAACCCUAGCAACUCUUCUCCUGCAAAAACCUACCCUAAGAAAGAAAACAAUUGCUCAAAAGGGGAAGUCAAAGAAGAGUGUAGCUUCAAAGGGAAAGCAGGUUAGGAAAGAAGGCAGAUUUAUGCCUUAUGUUGCCAAGGUAUUCCAAUUUGUGUGGACAUUUGGGAAGUGGACUACCAUAAUGAUAGAUAUGUAGUCAAUUUGGGGGAGAGAACAUGUAGCUUCAGAUGGGAUCCCAUGUGCACAUGCUUGGGCUUGCAUUGUAAGAAAAUUUUGUUGAUAAUUUCUACUUAGAGGCAAACACACCAUGUAUUAGACCUAUGCAGGGCAUGAAACAAUGGGAGAAAAUGUCUGAUAUGAUGCAACCCAUACCACCUGUAAUAAGGUUUUCAGGUUUUUGUGGCAGACCCUCCCAUAAGAAAAGGAAGCAGGAAAUUGGUGAGUAGUGCCAAAGAGCUAAGAAACUGCCAAAGUGCUCAAAUUGUGGACACCUAGGGCAUUAUAAGAACAAGUGCUAGAAUCCACCUCCUGACUUAGGUGGCAGGCCCCCAUCAAUGAACCCUUGGAAUGUGUUACAAAGGCAAAAGAAUUGGGAAAGAGCUGGGAAAAAGGGUAAGAUUAACCCUCAAAAUUGGCACAUCCACAUCACAAAUUGCUCCAUCUCAGCAAAGCUCACAGGAUGUAGCUUCUGGUCCACCAUAACCUACUCAACCAACCCCAACACCCCAGCCCUGCCUCAAACAACCGGCAUAGGGAAGUCCUAAGGCAGCACAAUCAAAAGCAAAGCUUCCAAUUAAGCCAAAAAUGAAGAAUCAGCCUACGUGGAAGCCAUAGAUUAUGAUGUGAUUUGGUUAUUUUUUGUAUUUUGUGUUAAUAACAAUCUUUAUAUAUUUUGGGGGGCUACAUGUACUUCAACCUAAUAUUACAUUGUUGUAGCCUAUAUUUUAUUAAGUGUUGAUGAACAAAUCCACUUUGACCUUGUAAUUAUUUUGGAUGAUGAAAUGCAAGGCUUUUUCAAUAUAAAUGUGCUCAAAAUUUAUGUCUUAAAUUGCAUUGUAAAGGUAGUAAUCAAAACACCAUUCCAUUUCAUUGUAAUGACAAUAUUACGACCUAAAAUUGAUAAAGGUCGUGCACUUUGUUUACAUAUCAAAAUCUAUGACAUUUGCCACUAAUACAAUGCAAAUGUAAUACCAAUCAUUAACUAAUUGCCUACUACAUCAAUGUCCUUCCUAAAUACACUAACACCAAUCCAAUAAUAACAAUUAUCACUACGCCAUCCCUAUCACCUGCCUUUGCCUUCUUCAUAGCUGCAGAAAGUAUCUUGCAUUUCUUGUUAAAUCUUUCUUUUUCAAUCUCCACCCUUGCCUUUUGGUCUUGAAGCAGGCAAACCUGUUGUUUCAGUAAAGCAAUCUCAUUUUUCAUAAGCUUUUGUCCAACACAAGUUGAUUAGUAACAACCCUCUGCCACUUAAAUAUUUCUUCAUCAAUCCAUCUGAAAAAUUUGCAUCCUCUUGUACCAGAUGCAGCAUUAUAGAAUUUACAAGCCAAAAAUCUUCUCCUAGGGUUUUUUGUAGUCCACGACAUCUCCAAUUUUGGUGGAAUACUACAAUUGCACUUGUUUGGAUGAUAUUGCAUAGCGAAGUGGUAUGAAGAAUUGGACAUCCUACCAAUUACAAUGUCAAUUAGUAAAUAAAAUGCUUCAAAAUUCAAUCUCAAAUACAAAAUAACCGAUUCCCAGAACUCAAUUGAACCCCAAGCCCUAGAAAUCAAAACCCCCAAAUUUGAUUGAGCACAUAAACCCUAAUCUGAAUCAGUAAUUUAAACCCUAAUUCUUUAAUUUGCAUUCAAUUAAACCUUGUAAACAAAUGCGAAAAACAAUGUAUUAGAAGGAAAGUGUGAAAGAUGACCUGAAUUUGUGUUCAAUUGCUUGAUUUCUUCAAUCAGAUUUUUUGAGUGACGAUGGAGGGAAAAAAAAAUUAUAGAGGAGAGAGGAGGAGAGAAGGUAGUUGGGGGGGGGGGAGUUAAUUGGGUGGGAAAAGUUAAAAGUGAGCUCUAAUAACGUGUAAAUAGGACGGAAAACAUUAAUGGGUAGUGCUACCCAAACGUUUUCAAACUUGCGGGUAGUUCUAAAUAAUUAAAACAAAAAUGGGUAGUUGUUCACAAAUGACCCUAUCUUGCGGGUAGUUCUAGACAAAAUUUCCAAUAAUUGAUUAGUUUUGUUGGGUUUUAAUAAUAGAUUAUAGGUGUUGCAUAAUUUUUGCCACAGGUUAUUUUCUUUUGAAGAUAAGUAAAUAAAUCCAUCUAAGUAUUUUAGGGGAAAAUUCAAGUUGAUCUUUCAGAUAAAUUUGUAAAUACAUCCCCUCUCACAAUAUAUUGUUUUUCUUUGAUUUUUUAAAUAAUAAAAGUGAAAUAAUAAAGUGGCACAGACAUCUAUACAUAAAGUUAUGAGAGGAGAUAAACU